AUCGCUUCUCGGCCUUUUGGCUAAGAUCAAGUGUAGAUUGGUUUUUCUAUUUAACUUUACUUCUCUUUGUUUUAUUUUGAUGUUUUAUUUAAAAGCAAUAUAUGUUCAUAAAAAUUUCAAGCAGUACAGAAACACGUAAAGAUUCAAGU
rnacentral:snRNA from 1 species